AGAGUUUGAUCAUGGCUCAGGACGAACGCUGGCGGCGUGCCUAACACAUGCAAGUCGAGCGGAGGUAUAUACGAAGAAGUUUUCGGACGGAAUUGUAUAUACUUUAGCGGCGGACGGGUGAGUAACGCGUGAGCAACCUGCCUUUCACAGGGGGAUAAGGCGGCGAAAGCCGCUCUAAUACCGCAUGAGACCACAGUGGUGAUGCUACAGGGGUCAAAGGAGCAAUCCGGUGAAAGAUGGGCUCGCGUCCGAUUAGGUAGUUGGUGGGGUAAUGGCCCACCAAGCCCGUGAUCGGUAGCCGGCCUGAGAGGGUGAACGGCCACAUUGGAACUGAGACACGGUCCAAACUCCUACGGGAGGCAGCAGUGGGGAAUAUUGGGCAAUGGGGGGAACCCUGACCCAGCAACGCCGCGUGAGGGAAGAAGGUUUUCGGAUUGUAAACCUCUGUUCUUGGGGAAGAGUGAAAGACGGUACCCAAGGAGGAAGCCCCGGCUAACUACGUGCCAGCAGCCGCGGAAAUACGUAGGGGGCGAGCGUUAUCCGGAAUUAUUGGGCGUAAAGAGUACGUAGGUGGUUUGGAAAGCGUGUGGUGAAAUUGCGGGGCUUAACCCCGUCCAGCCAUGCGAACUUUCAGACUUGAGUGCAGGAGAGGGAAGUGGAAUUCCUAGUGUAGCGGUGAAAUGCGUAGAUAUUAGGAGGAACAUCAGUGGCGAAGGCGACUUCCUGGACUGUAACUGACACUGAGGUACGAAAGCGUGGGUAGCAAACAGGAUUAGAUACCCUGGUAGUCCACGCCGUAAACGAUGAGCACUAGGUGUCGGGGUCGCAAGACUUCGGUGCCGCAGUUAACGCAUUAAGUGCUCCGCCUGGGGAAGUACGUGCGCAAGCAUGAAACUCAA
rnacentral:rRNA from 1 species